rnacentral:rRNA from 1 species
UUGUUGCCAGCGGUCCGGCCGGGAACUCAAAGGAGACUGCCAGUGAUAAACUGGAGGAAGGUGGGGAUGACGUCAAGUCAUCAUGGCCCUUACGACCAGGGCUACACACGUGCUACAAUGGCGCAUACAAAGAGAAGCGACCUCGCGAGAGCAAGCGGACCUCAUAAAGUGCGUCGUAGUCCGGAUUGGAGUCUGCAACUCGACUCCAUGAAGUCGGAAUCGCUAGUAAUCGUGGAUCAGAAUGCCACGGUGAAUACGUUCCCGGGCCUUGUACACACCGCCCGUCACACCAUGGGAGUGGGUUGCAAAAGAAGUAGGUAGCUUAACCUUCGGGAGGGCGCUUACCACUUUGUGAUUCAUGACUGGGGUGAAGUCGUAACAAGGUAACCGUAGGGGAACCUGCGGUUGGAUCACCUCCUUACCUUAAAGAA